rnacentral:lncRNA from 1 species
UUCAAGGUACUGAGAAGAUCACAUACUGCAUGUGCUCCUAAAACCUGGUCCUGGCAUAACCUUCUAAGCUGUUUUAUUCAGAUUACAAUAAAUCAUGCCAUUCACACAAGUUCUUACACGGAUUUAAUUGCAUCUUUGAAAGGUUUGGCAGAUACAUCAAGCCAGUUCAUUAAUGCACAGAUGAUUUCUUCACAUUAAGAAAGACACGUUGGAGCACCAUAAAUGUCAAGGCAGUUAUUACGCACAAAAAGCAUAAAAUGGCAACCAUCAAAAGGUGAGCCCUUAUUCAGUUGAGAUCAAAAAUAAAACUGCAGUAAUUCCUUUGUGUAAUAAUGGAGAAAUAUUAGAUUAUUUUAAGG